rnacentral:lncRNA from 1 species
CUGUACUGGGGCUUAUAAAGUUUGCAAGACCAAGGGGCCUCUCUUCCCAAUGAUGGCAGACUAGGCCAUCCUCUGCUACAUAUGCAGCUAGAGACAUGAGCUCUGGGGGUACUGGUUAGUUUAUAUUGUUGUUCUGCCUACAGGGAUGUAGACCCCUUCAGCUCCUUGGGUACUUUCUCAGGCUCCUCCAUUGAGGGCCCUGUGUUCUAUCCAAUAGAUGUCUGUGGGCAUCCACUUAUGUAUUUGCCAGGCACUGGAACAGCCUCACAAGAGACAGCUAUAUCAGGAAAGUUUGUGUUCUUUUAUGACACUGGAGAUGACUGUGACGUGCAAAGGCUUUCCCACAUUGAUUACAUUCAUCGGGUUUCUCUCCAGUAUGUUCAGUUUUAUGACGAUGGAGAUGACUGUGACAUGCAAAGUCUUUACCAAUUACAUUCAUAGGGUCUCUCUCCAGUAUGUGUUCUCUUAUGACAUUGGAGACGACUGGGUCUUGCAAAGGCUUUACCACAUUGAUCACAUUCAUAGGGUUUCUCUCCAGUAUGUGUUCUUUUAUGAUAUUGGAGAUGAGUGUGAUGUGCAAAUGCUUUCCCACAAUGAUUACAUUCAUAGGGUUUCUCUCCAGAAUGUGUUCUUUUAUGAUAUUGGAGACUACUGAGUUGUGCAAAGGCUUUACCACAUUGAUUACAUUCAUAGGGUUUCUCUCCAGUAUGUGUUCUUUUAUGACAUUGGAGACUACUGAAUUGUGCAAAGGCUUUACCACAUUGAUUACAUUCAUAGGGUUUCUCUCCAAUAUGUGUUCUUUUAUGACAUUGGAGAUUAUGGAAUUGUGCAAAGGCUUUUCCACAUUGACUACAUUCAUAGAGUUUCUCUCCAAUAUGUGUUCUUUUAUGACAUUGGAGAUUACUGAAUUGUGCAAAGGCUUUACCACAUUGAUUACAUUCAUAGGGUUUCUCUCCAGUAUGUGUUCUUUUAUGACAUUGGAGAUGACUGUGACGUGCAAAUGCUUUCCCACAUUGAUUACAUUCAUAGGGUUUCUCUCCAGUAUGUAUUCUUUUAUG